rnacentral:rRNA from 1 species
AUUGAACGCUGGCGGCAGGCCUAACACAUGCAAGUCGAGCGGAUGAAGGGAGCUUGCUCCUGGAUUCAGCGGCGGACGGGUGAGUAAUGCCUAGGAAUCUGCCUGGUAGUGGGUGAUAACGUCCGGAAACGGGCGCUAAUACCGCAUACGUCCUGAGGGUGAUAGUGGGGGAUCUUCGGACCUCACGCUAUCAGAUGAGCCUAGGUCGGAUUAGCUAGUUGGUGGGGUAAAGGCCUACCAAGCCGACGAUCCGUAACUGGUCUGAGAGGAUGAUCAGUCACCUUGGAAGGUAGACACGGUCCAGAGUCCUAAGGGAGGCAGCAGUGGGGAAUAUUGGACAAUGGGCGAAAGCCUGAUACAGCCAUGCCGCGUGUGUGAAGAAGGUCUUCGGAUUGUAAAGCCCUUUAAGUUGGGAGGAAGGGCAAUAAGUUAAUACCUUGCUGUUUUGACGUUACCAACAGAAUAAGCACCGGCUAACUUCGUG